AUUGAACGCUGGCGGCAUGCCUUACACAUGCAAGUCGAACGGCAGCACGGGGCAACCUGGUGGCGAGUGGCGAACGGGUGAGUAAUGCAUCGGAACGUACCUUUCAGUGGGGGAUAACGUAGCGAAAGUUACGCUAAUACCGCAUAUUCUGUGAGCAGGAAAGCAGGGGAUCGCAAGACCUUGCGCUGAUUGAGCGGCCGAUGUCAGAGUAGCUAGUUGGUGAGGUAAAGGCUCACCAAGGCGACGAUCUGUAGCGGGUCUGAGAGGAUGAUCCAGCACGUUGGAACUGAGACACGGUACAGACUCCUACGGGAGGCAGCAGUGGGGAAUUUUGGACAAUGGGGGCAACCCAGAUCCAGCCAUGCCGCGUGAGUGAAGAAGGCCUUCGGGUUGUAAAGCUCUUUCGGCCGGGAAAAAAUCGCAUGGGUUAAUACCCUGUGUGGAUGAUGGUACCGGAAUAAGAAGCACCGGCUAACUACGUGCCAGCCGCCGCAGUAACAC
rnacentral:rRNA from 1 species